rnacentral:rRNA from 1 species
CCAAUAGCGUAUAUUAAAGUUGUUGCCGUUAAAAAGCUCGUAGUUGAAUUUCGGGAUUCGUCCAUUGGUCAGGCUUAACUGUCUGUACUGGUGUGUCGGAUUUCUACCUUCUGAAGAACCUUUAUGCCAUUAAUUUGGUGUGUUGGGGAAUCAGGACUGUUACUUUGAAAAAAUUAGAGUGUUUAAAGCAGGCUAACGUCUGAAUACAUUAGCAUGGAAUAAUGAAAUAGGACGGUACGGUUCUAUUUUGUUGGUUUCUAGGAUCGCCGUAAUGAUUAAUAGGGAUAGUUGGGGGCAUUAGUAUUCAAUUGUCAGAGGUGAAAUUCUUGGAUUUAUUGAAGACUAACUACUGCGAAAGCAUUUGCCAAGGAUGUGUUCAUUAAUCAAGAACGAAAGUUAGGGGAUCGAAGACGAUCAGAUACCGUCGUAGUCUUAACCAUAAACUAUGCCGACUAGGGAUUGGACGAUGUUAAUUUUUUAAUGACUCGUUCAGCACCUUACG